AGUUGUUGCAACAGCUACGCACAGCUGUCCCUAUGACGUGGCCUCAUAUCCUUGCUAUCCCCACAUUACGAAAUCGACUUCACGAUUCUUAAGCUGGCCCGCUUCUCUUCCACUCUUAUUGAAACGACGUCACAUGCAACCAACACAUGGGUUAUUUACUUAGCUAGAAAAUACUUGCGACACCUUCUUCUGGUUUCACAAAAUCCCAAAUCAAAAACCCUAAAACACAAGACAGCCCCAAAUUGAUAGAAAACCCUAAAUUGAUAAUGGUGAAGCAGCGCCUCCAUCUCUGCGAGACAUCUCCGGGCAUCAAAUUCCCGGAUUAUCUCUCUCAUCCUCGGCUUCUUUACAGUAUCGCUGCCAGCGCGGGGACCCGGCGAUUCCCGACGCCGUCUCUUGACUCAGCGACAACGUCGCUCCUCCAUCCGGCUCCUUCUCGGCUAUUUAACAGCGGUGCGGUAUCGCCGUCUGCCGCCAGUCAGUUCCGCCGACGCCGCACGGCUAAGGCCCCGCCGCUUCCCGACUCGGAGGAACAGUCACUGCUGUCCCGUGACCUAUGGCAACUUCCGGGCUCCGUCGAUGCUCGCUCGUCGUCGGGCAGCCCUUCAGUUGUCGGCCUAAAGCUAAGUCCUCUGCCGUAGCCUAUUCCUCUUUUAUUUACUUCGAUUCUUAAUGAUUGUGAGUUAGUUUCUGCUCUUACGUGAGUUUCAUAGCUGAGGAAAAAAGUGAAAGUUUGUUGGGUGAGGAAAGGCUUAAGCUUCUUGUUCUUGUGCUUACUGUGGUGUGCAUUAGAAGUAAAAGUAAGGCUUUAAAUUUUCUUAUCCUAUGCAUGAUGUUCGACACGAGGCAGAGGUCGUGGAAGUGUUUUACUGUUUCUUCCAUUUAUUUUAUCAAGAUUUUGAAGUGGGGCUCUAACAUGCUUGAGGUUUUAGUUACUACAUGAUGACAUGAAACUAGUCGGGGAAGAGGAUGGAGGUGUAUUACCUCUUGAAGUAGCUACUGAUUCUUUUCCUCUGCUCCUAGAACUCACCGCUUUCCCACUUGUUUUUCUGGUUCCUUGUUGAUAAGUUAGGGAAAGGGUGAGCUUGGGUUUGAGCAUAAAGAAUUUGUGGAAUGGAAGAAAAAUAGCAUUACCUAUGGGUAGUAGGAACUGCCUGCAAGAACUCUGCAGAACUCUACUCCAAGCGAUCUCACUCUCAACUUGCUUUUGUGGCUGAAUUUUCAAAGUGUGUGGGGGGAAAGUUCAUAGGUGGCGUGGAGGGGGUUUUUAUAGGCAAAGAGUGUACUCGUGAGGCUUUAAUUGGAGCUGUUGUAUUGUUUUGUUCUCUUCCUGCAGCAAAUCUCCCUUUUCUUUGAUUUUGCAGCAACUUUAACUGGAAUUUGGUGGCGAUCUUUGAGAUAAGGACUAAUGCAUUUAUGUUAUUUGUUGGUUUCUUUUCUUUUCUUCAGAUGUACAUGGUGGAGAGGGAAGAAGUGCUGGUGCUGUUUUGGGGAGGAUAUUGCAGGCAUUGACUUGCCCCUUUUUUGUGAUGGGAAAACUGGGUUGUUAGUCAGGUGAUAAGGCUCGUUUCAUGCAUUGGUUUAGGGUGAUAUUACAUAUUUUUUGGGGAGAUAAUGCACAAAUUUGAGAUUAAAUGUGCAGGUAUCUGCUGGGUCAAGUAGAUGCUGCAAACUGACCGAGCAGAUGCAGAAUGAGUAGAAAAGGAGUAAAAAUGUCGAAAAUCCGCUAGGUCAAGGAGAAUUAUUAGGAGAGCAGGUAGUGCAAGGAAAAGGACAAAAGAGAGAGAAUUCAAAGACACCCUUAUUUUAAGGGUACAAACAUCAAAUCAUGAAGAGCAUAACCUAGGGAUUUGAGCUUGAAGCCUCCUUGUAUAAAGGGACUAACAUGAAUGAAGAAGGUAACGCUUAAGGCUAUCCUAGUUUAGGUAGGAAGCUCUUAUAGGCGCUUAAUGCCAUUGCUAUCUUAGUUUAGUGUAGAUAGUUAACUGCUUUCUUAACUUAGUUCAAUGGUAUCGACGGGGAAUUCACGACUCCGGUGUUGGAUCCUUGCUUUUUUUACCGCUUUUGAGACGCUGUAAUUAGAUCUCGAGUUUCAUUGGAGGAAUUGACAACUCCGCCGUUGGAUCUCGACUUAUUUCCAAUUUUAUAAAGCUUUUGUGUUUAUUUUCA